GGAUUGUGGCUCAGUGGUAGAGUGCUUGCCUAGCACAUGUGAGGCACUGGGUUCCAUCCUCAGCACCA
rnacentral:tRNA from 1 species